rnacentral:lncRNA from 1 species
UAUGUAUGUUGUGAUUCCCUUAGUGGUGUCAUGUGAAUGUCGACUACAUGACACUUCACCAUAUUUGGGCCUAAGGGAAUGCAUUGUGGAGUAGUAAUUAGAUGAUGGGUUGCGAGACUGACAGAAGAUUAAACCCUAGUUUAUGAGCUAUUCCGUAAGGGACCGAUUGGAUCCAAAAGUUUAAUGCUAUGGUUAGAAUUUAUUCUUAAUACUUUUCUCGUAGUUGUGGAUGCUUGCGAGGGGGUUAAUCAUAAGUAGGAGGUAUAUUCAAGUAAGAACAACACCUAAGCUCUGAUCCACCCACAUAUCAAAUUAUCAAAGUAGCGAAGACGAAUCGAACCAACAUGAUGAAAGUGACUAGAUGAAAUUCCCGUGUACCCUCAAGACCGCUUUGCUUAUUAUAAGAGACCGUUUUAGCCUAUCCUUUGCCUCAAAAGGAUUGGGCUACCUUGCUGCACUUUUGUUACUACUAUUUUUAUUUGCUCGUUACAAAUUAUCUCGCUAUCAAACUACUCUGUUACUUACAAUUUUAGCACUUGCAGACAUUACCUUGCUGAAGACCACUUGUCAUUUCAUUCUGCUCCUCGUUGGGUUCGACACUCUUAUUUAUCGAAAAGACUAAAAUUGAUCCCAUAUACUUGCGGGUCAUCAGUGGCGCCGACCCUUCGUCGGGGAUGCCGGCCAGGUGGUGGGUCCUUGUGGCGGCGCUGGUGGCGAUGGAUCUUGGGAUCCCGCUCCCGGUACGUUGCAGGAUGCGGCAGCCCGUGCACAUGAGAUUGAGUUUCUUCAAACAGAUCUGGAUGAAAACUUGCUUUCGGCUACUGCCAAGGCUGGCGGUGGCGGCGUUGUUUGCGGCAUUUCCUUCUUGAAGGCAUCGCCGUGGAGAAGCUCAAGGCCACUUUUUGCUACCACCGGAGCAAAUCGUAGACCAGUAGAUCGGAUGACAGCGGCGCUCUGGUGUUGUUUCCCCCUUGGGGGCGUCAUUCAUGGAGAUACACACGGGUUCGAGGGAAUAGAAGACGGCUUAUUUGGUGGAGCAGUGCUUCAUCUUACACAUUGAUGGCGGCGGAUCUCGUCGGUGUGGUGCUAUGGAGACUCGGAGUCCGAUGCGCGGAGAUGGACUCGCGCGGGAGGAUGUUGUCUAGGGUCAUGGUGACGUCGAUGGCAGAGAGGCCUAGCAAGGUCGGUGCAUUAGUUUCUGCUCUAAAGAUUGAUUGGUGGAAGAUGGUGGCGACGACACAGAGAGUGUGUCGGAUCAGUUUGUGCCCCAAACCCAGUAUGUGGCUUGGUUGGGGCCUCUGCCUUUAGAUGUUAGGCAUUUGUGCGAUGUCUGUUUGGUAUUAGGCUCGGACUAUCGGCACCCCUUCAUCAGGUGAAUAGAAGUAGCGACAGUUGUUGCUAAGAUGGUGGCUUCAGACUACAUAAUGUACUACUUUGUAAGAUCUUUGUGAAUAACUAAUAAAAUGGCUACAUGCAUCAUCCAGAUGCAGAGGCCGGGGAUAAUCCUUCUUUUCUAAAAAGAGAACUACUUGUACAUGCCGCAAGUAGUUUGAACCCACACAGGCAGACCAGUAAAUGUAGGAUGCAAAUGAUAUUAGUGGUGACCAUUUCUGACCGCACGCCGCUAGUUCAUAUAGUACAUACUAGUGUCGAGCCUUUGUAUUGAAUCGCUGCUGGUAGUUCUUGGCAUCAGAGCCCUCUUUGUGUAUCUUAGCAGCAACGUGUCAUUUUUUGGAACACUGCUAGUAAUAUGACAACAGUAAUGUGCUUUUUUAGCUAAACACUGCUUGUGUUUUGCCAAGUUUGCGACGGCAUGUCAUUUUUGCCAGACGUUGUUAUUACCAAAAUACUAUGAGACCUCCUUUCGUUCAUAGGAUAAGAAUGCUAUAGUAAUAUGAAAAUCAAAGGAAGUGAGAUGACAUGCAUCUCAAUUCUUAUAGAGAAAGACAUGUCAUUUGAUGCAUAGGAUAGGAAUUUUUCCAUUGAGUCUUCUAAUGUUUUUUCCUUCAAAAUGUGAAGGAUUGAUUCCUAUCCUAUAUAGGAAUAGGAAUCCAUUCCUACAAACCAAAGGGCUUGAAAGGAAAUUUUCCUUCGCAAAUCCUAUCAUAUAGAAAUUCUAUGAAAUUCCUAUGAACCAAAGAAGGCCUGAAGGGUUCCUGCACUAGUGGCUGACACUAAGGUAGGAGAGGAGGUCACAACCUUUGGCUCGUGGGAUUCGUUGGCGAGGCACACGCUAUUUAGAAGACGCAUAGUCGCAGUCGUGUGCGUCGUUGAUAAAGCCGACGUCACUACUACAGGGCCGCGCUUGGGGUUGUCAUGGCUGGCGAGCUCGGGGCGGGGCAACACACACCACCCAUGAUAUGACCAGUCUCAACUAUAGUCAGACCAACGACAACGACAAUGUACAAGCUGCCAACCAGAAUCAUGUUUUUGCAGCUCCAUUAGUCACUGUUGGUGAUAUCGUUGUACCGUCAUAUUUAGAAUCAAGCUUUGGCAAUGAACUAGUUAUCGCUACAUGUAUCCAUGUGGUUCGGCCAAGAAAGAUUGUUGUUGUUCGGCCAAAAGAGGAAGUGAUAUUUGUUGCGCCUAAGAACGCAAUGAGCGUGAGCAUGUAUAUUGAUUUUGGCUGCCUUGGUACACAUGCGCACGUGAAGAAUAUUGGUGAUUCAAACUACAGGAAGAGAUCGGAUCCAUUUAAAAAGUACAGGUCCAGGUUUAAGCUUUGCCUGCUGUUUUUAUUUCUUCCACGCAAGGAAUACCAGGCAGGUGAGGACGAGGAUCCUCUGCCGUUCGGCAGGGUGUCUUUCGACCACUGACUGAUGGACCCAUCGGGGAACAGGCCCACAUGGCAGCGCCACAACGGCAGGAGCCGCACGUUAGGGGAGCCGCUUCCGGCAGGUGAAAGGACGUGCUGCAUGUGGAGUCUCCUAUGCUUAAAAGAAAUCGGAUGGGGUCCACCAACAGAAGAAUAAAGCUGGCGGCCAUGUAACAAAUCUAGUAGUUUUUGUCUAGUUAAAUAGAUCACAAGUCGGUUAUCAUAUGCUUACGAUGUUUCCUUGUUUUUUAAGUGUACGUAACAAGCCUUGCUUCCCAAGAUAGUUAGGUGUGCGGCUAUUAUAUAAAGCCAAUCUAGUUCUUUGUAAGAGGAGAUUAUUUUUUAUGAAUAGACACAAUGUCUUUUUAGGGUAAAUACCCGUAUCGAGUUUUGGGGGAAACUGUCUAAAAAUCCUUAAGUUUUGGAGGAAGCUUUAGAAAACCUCUGUGUUGCGAUUUUUGUGUGAGGAAAUUGUUUUGCGCGUGAGUACCGUCGUCGAGAUUGGUUUUCUCGUGCUGAGCCACAAGGUUCAAACCCUUUAUUUCGUGUACAUCGCGUGCGCGGGCGAGAGGUUGCUACUGCUGAAGAAGAAGUGUCGUGAAAGAUCGGGCCGCAAUAACGGAUCAGACCUCACCUUAAGCUUUGGUCUACAUCAACCCACUUCCAUUCAGAAUUGCUCGUGCUUGCCAUAAAGAUGUCGUGCAGCGCCUUCAUCCUCGGGCACUCUUCAAUCAUGGCUCGCAUCAGAGUCAUGGUGAGGCCUCUUUUGGUUCAUAGGAUAGGAUUAUCAUAGGAAUAGGAAUUUUGUAGAAAAUGAGAUGGCAUGUAUCUCAAAUUCUAUGAGUAAGAAUAGGAAACGAGAUGGCAUUUGGUUGACACCAAAGAAAUUUUUCCACUGAGUCUAGGCUCAUUUUUAUUUUCCUAUGAAAUGUGAAGGAUAGGAACCAAUCCUAUGUAGGAAUAGGAAUCUAUUCCUAUGAACCAAAGGGCUCUAAAGGAAAAAAAUCCUAUAAAAUUCCUAUCCUCUAAAAUUCCUAUGAAAUUCCUCCAAACCAAAGGAGGCCUUUGUGGGAGAAAAAAAAUUAGGCCUCCUUUGGUUUGUAGGAAUUUUAUAGGAACUCUAUAGGAUGGGAUUUGCAAAGGAAAAAUUCCUUUGAAGUCAUUUGGUUUAUAGGAAUGGAUUUCUAUUCCUAUGUAGGUUAGAAAUCAAUCCUUCAUAUUUUGGAGGAAAAAAGACAUUAGCCUAGACUCAAUGAAAAAAUUCAUAUUCUAUGCACCAAAUAACAUCUCUUUCUCUAUAGGAAUUGAGAUGCAUGUCAUCUCACUUCCUAUGAUUUUCCUAUCCUAUGAACCAAAGGAGGUGAUCCUUUGGUUCAUAGGAAUAAAAAGUCACAGGAAAUAAGAUAACAUGUAUCUGAAAUCCUAUGAAUAGGAAUAGAAAAGAAGAUGUCCUUUGCUUCACAUUAUAGGAUUUUUACUAUUAAGGCCUCCUUUGGUUUACAGGAAUUUCAUAGGAUUUCUAUAGGAUAGGAUUUGCAAAGGAAAAGUUUCAUUUGAAGCCCUUUGGUUUGUAGGAAUGAAUUCCUAUUCAUAUGUAGGAUAGGAAUCAAUCCUUCACAUUUUGGAGGAAAAAAAACAUUAGCUAAUUGAGAUGCAUGUCAUUUCACUUUCUAUGAUUUUCCUAUUCCUGUAAAAUUCCUAUCCUAUGAACCAAAGAAGGCCUAGGCUAAUGUUUAUUUUUCUAUGAAAUGUGAAGGAUAGAAAAAAUUCCUCCAUAGGAAUAUGAUUCUAUUCCUACAAAUCAAAAGGAUCUAAAGAAAAUUUUCCUAUACAAAUCCUAUCUUAUAGGAUUCCUACAAAAUUUCUACAAACCAAAGAAGGCCUAGAAUACCAAAUGAUAGCACCCACUACUUCUAUGACAUGAAUCAAUCAUUGGUCGGGAUUACGAACAGGAAUCAUAGAGGAAUUCAUGGUUGAGAAAAGGAAUCUGGAGGUGGAAGAUGAACAGUAUGCACAGACGCUACAGGGUGCAGCUAUGUAUCCCUUAUAGCCACCACAAGCGCAAUGGCGCGUGCAGCGCUCCCUAAAUGGGCUGGACCAAGAGACGUAGCUGCGUUGGAUGCUACUUCGUUCGUUUCCUUUUGAUCGCUCAUUAUCUUUGAUUUAUUCUUUUCUUUCAUAAUUUUAUUCAUAUUCCCAAAUAUCCUAAAAUAAAAAUAUUUAUAUUUAAAAUGCUUAUGCAGUGUUUAGAAACUGUUUAUGCAGUACUUAAAAAAAGUUCAUGAAACUUUUAAGAAUGUCAUUGGCUGUAAACAAAAUGUACGUUAAAAAUGUUCACAAGUUUCCAAAAAAACGUGACAUAUUAAUAAAAUACUACGUACCAUUGAUAAAAUUAUAAAUAUGUGCACAUGUUUCAAAAAAUAUCUUCAAAAUUUUUAAAAUACUUAUGCAAUGUAGAAAAACAUUCUCCUAUUCUAAAAAAGGUUUGAUGGCACUAAAAAAAUUCAAUGUGCAUUUAAAAAAAACAUGUAUUGAAAAAAAUUUGAACAUAUGUAUUUUUUUAAAUGUACAUCAAUUAUUCAAAAAAUGAUCAACGUGUAUCAAAAACAUGUAUACGGAAAAUGUAGAAUGUGUAUUGAAGAAAGUACGCAUGUGUUGAUUAAAAGAAUAAAAAAAUAAAAAAAUAAAACCGAUGAAGAAACACAAAAAACGGGGAAACCCGAUGAAAGAAAUGUAGAUCCACCCGAAACAAGCAUGAAAAAACACGCAAAAAAGGUUCAAAACAAUCACAGAAACAAACAGGGAUAAAUAACCACGUGAAAAAACAUGGUCAAAAUUAACUACAGAAACAAACAUGGAAAAAACCACACGGAAAACCGAUCAAAAAUCUUUCCUAAAAACUGCUCCCCCAGACACCUAUUGGACAGGCCCAUCAGUGCUCGUCUCAUUGGUGGGCUGGAUCGUGCCUGAGGGCCCAGCGAGGCCCACCCAGGUCGCUGGCACUAAAGAAGACCAGCCCUCGUACUAUUACGUGUUGCAGGCGCGAUUCAACAAUGGAUCCCCUCUAGUUAGGGUUUUACCUUCCUCUCGGCGCCGAUGGCGACGUAGAGACCUCUGAUCCCUCCCCCACCGAACUACGUCUUCUUCUCGGGCUGAUCCAGGGGCGUCCUUCGGGUCGCCACCCGGCCUUGGAAGGGAUCCAGAGUUUUUUGGCGGGGAUAGGAUUAGGUGCUCCCGUGCGGGAGCGAUCUGUCUUCUAGGGUUUAUCAUGGCGGACCGAGGCAGCACCUCUACAGCGAACAAGGGCAAAGCAAACCCGGUGGAUAUGAUGAAGGAACUAGCCCUCGAUGAGGACAACCUUGAUGACGUGGUUUUUGAGGACAAAGAUGCACCGGCAGAUGAGAAUCUCCGCUGGAUGAUCUUGGUCAGGGUUCAUAUGGAUAAAGACUUCAGCAACUACUGGUUUUUCCGCACGAUGCGUGCAGCCUGGGAUCUGGCGAGGCCGGUGAAGAUAAAAACUCUAGAGGAGAAUCUCUUCAUAAUGCAAUUUGAUUGUUUGGGUGAUUGGGAAAGAGUGACGCAGGGAGGUCCGUGGCACUUCAAGGGCAACCCUGUGAUCAUUGCCCCGUACGAUGGAUUCACCAAGCCUUCUACGAUCGAACUCUACAAGUUUGAGAUAUGGGCCCGGAUCAUUGAUCUACCCCCGGCGUAUCAUGGUAAAGUUAAGGUGUUGGCCUCCAAGUUUGGUGAGUUUGUUGACGCGGAACCCGCUUCUUUCGAUUUUGAAGGAAAUUUCUUCAGGGUAAGGGUACGGCUGGAUGUUCGUAAUCCGUUAAAGAAGGCCACCUCACUGAUCCAUGGUGGCGAACGAGAGAUAUUUGCAGUCCGCUAUGAGAGGCUACCGGACUGGUGCCAGGUGUGUGGUAUGAUGGGGCAUCAGUUCAAGGAACAUGGGGACGGCGUUCACCCACCGUUUGCGUUGGUGUUCAAGAAUCUGCGUGCGCCGGCCACCACCAGCUGGGCUACCAGGAGAAGGAGUAAUAGCCAGAAGCAGCAGCCAGCAAGGGGCAACUUCUCUGAAGCUGGAAGUGGUAUCGCCAAGGGGGGAGAGAAGGUCGUUAGUGCAGUUGAUGACCCUGAACUGAGUCGCAAAAGAUCCUCAGAUGCAGUCCUGACCGAAUCAGCAAAGGAAGGGACAGGCUUGGAGCUCGCCCUGGUGGUCAAAGAUGCAGUUGUGAAUCAGGUUCCCCUGAGUCCACCCCCAAAGCAAGACCCCAAAGAACAAAAACUGUUAUGCAGGCUGAAAAGAAUAACUCAAGGGAUGGAAGAAAGGCACCGGCUAGCAAGAUCAACAACAACAAUGGUGCACGUUUGGCGGCCUCCUCCGGGGAGGACCGCCGUGCACAAUGAAUCUCUUGAGCUAGAAUUGUGGGGGAUUGGCAACGCCCCGACAAUUCAAGAGCUGCGAGAAACCACGAAAAAGUUUGCCCCUAAAGUACUAUGUAUUGUUGAAACCCAGAUUAGCGGUGAUAGAGCAGAAAAUCUCAAGGGUACUUUAGGCUAUGACAAUGCUUUUGCUGUUGAUUCCUCCGGUAGGAGUGGAGGUUUAUGUAUUUUUUGGAACAAUGAAAUAAAGACGGAGAUUUUAGGUUACUCUAAGUAUCAUAUAGAUGUCAAAAUCAGUAUGCUUGGGGGGGGGGGGACCGUGGAGGCUCUUAUGUUUCUAUGGGGAGGCCCAAACGCACCUCCGGCAUCAAACCUGGACAACCAUGUGUAAUCUGGCCACUCUCCAUAAUAUGCCUUGGAUGUGCUUGGGAGACUUUAAUGAAGUGCUCAGAUAUGACGAGCAUGAUGGAAUUGGUACUUGUAGUCAAACCCAGAACCAAGGAUUCAGGGAUGCAGUGGAUGUGUGUGGUCUGAUAGACCUCGGUUUCACUGGCAGAAAGUGGACGUAUGAGAAGAAGGUAGCAGGAGGGUCGUUCACAAAGGUGCGCCUAGACAGGGCACUUGGGAUGACCGAGUGGUGCACGCUCUUUCCUAACGCAACUGUUGAGCAUCUAUCGGCUGCAACUUCUGAUCACUCGCCCAUUCUCGUACACCUUGCCACAAUCAGUCCAGGAGCAAAGACUGAGAAGAGGUUCAGAUAUGAGGUAAUGUGGGACACUCAUGCGGAGUUGAAGCAAACAGUUCGGACUGCAUGGGAACCCGGGGGACAGCUAACAGCGAACGAAAUUCGAUCAACGCGCUUGCAAACAAUUUGGGAUAAUGGGCAAAGUCUUCUUUCGGAAGUGUUCGAGGGGAGAUUCGCAUCCUCAAGAAAGAACUUGACAGGCUACGUAAUGAGCCGACGAGGACAGGCCCGUCUCAUGCAGAAAUUAAAAUUAACGAUAGGCUCAUCGAGCUAUAUUUACGGGGAGAGCUCAUGUGGAGGCAGCGGUCCCGUAUUGAAUGGUAGUCCGCUGGAGAUCGUAAUACUCAUUUUUUUCAUAUGCGAGCAUCGAUGAGGCGUAGGAAAAAUCUGAUAAAAGCCUUGCAAAGGGCUGAUGGCGAGCUCACAGAGGAUAUGACGGAGAUGCAGCAGCUAGCCCUGGACUUCUACAAAAAUUUGUAUACGUCAGAAGGAGUACAGGGAGUUGCAGAAGUACUGGAACACGUCCCGGUCAAGGUGACACCAGCAAUGAACGCAGUUUUGAUGGCACCGUAUGAGGAGAAGGAAGUGAAAAUGGCCUUGUUCCAGAUGUUCCCUACUAAGUCCCCGGGACCCAAUGGCUUCCCUGCUCAUUUCUUUCAACGCCAUUGGGAUGUUUGUGGAGAAGCGGUCACCCGGGCCAUCCUAGGCAUUGUUCGUGGGGAGGAGAGCCCAUCAUGCGUUAACGAUACACUUCUGGUCUUAAUCCCUAAGGUAUCUAAUCCCACGUUACUGUCACAAUUUCGCCCUAUCGGUUUAUGUAACGUUUUCUACAAGAUUGCCUCAAAAGUGUUAGCAAACCGACUAAAGAUCAUCCGACCAGAUAUAAUCUCUGAGGAGCAGUCCGCCUUUGUACCGGGAAGGCUAAUUACGGACAAUAUUAUUUCAGCUUAUGAGUGCCUACACUUCGUGAAGAGGAACAGGGCAAAAAGCAAUUCCUUUUGUGCGCUCAAGCUUGAUAUGAUGAAGGCUUAUGACAGAGUUGAAUGGGAAUACCUUAGAGCUAUCAUGGAGAAGCUAGGUUUUGCUACCCCCUGGAUUACUGUCAUCAUGAACAUGGUGAGCUCUGUAUCCUUCUCAGUGAUGUUUAAUGGAAAAAAGUUGGAAGAAUUCAACCCUACACGUGGCAUUCGACAGGGAGAUCCCAUCUCUCCUUACCUUUUCUUGUUGGCAGUAGAGGGCCUUUCGUGCCUACUCAAAUCACAAAACCAGUCAUCCCAGCUCGGCGGCAUUAAGGUGGCACCAUCGGCCCCGUCGGUGAACCACCUUUUAUUCGCGGAUGAUAGCCUGCUGUUUUUCAGGGUAAGUGUUGAUGGAGCAGAGGAGAUAUCAAACCUAUUGGAGUCAUAUUGUAUGGCAUCGGGACAAAGAAUCAACAGGGACAAAUCAUCUAUAUUUUUCAGUAGGGAAACCCCGGAGAUAGUUCGUGCUGCGGUCAAGGGUUUCCUUCAUGUUCCAAACGAAUCUUUGAGCGAUAGAUACUUGGGGAUGCCUACGGAUGUGGGGCAUGCCAAGAAUGGUACAUUCAAAUACUUAAGUGAUCGUGUGUGGGACAAGGUAAAAGGAUGGAUGAGCAAGUGUUUAUCAGCGGGAGGAAAAGAGGUUCUAAUUAAAUCAGUAGCUCAGGCCAUACCAGUAUAUUCUAUGUCUUGCUUUAAGCUACCAAGAGGUUUAUGUGAGCAUAUAAAGUCUAUUAUUCGGAAGUUUUGGUGGGGCUGUAAAUAGGGCAAAAGGAAGCCGGCUUGGGUAUCGUGGGAUGUGAUGAUGCGGCCUAAACACUUGGGAGGAUUGGGGUUCAGAGAUUUAGAGUUGUUUAAUCUUGCUCUUUUGGCCCGUCAAGCCUGGAGACUUUUUAAUGAACCAUCUACUUUGAGUGCUAGAAUACUCAAAGCUAGCUACUUCCCCGAGACUACAUUGUUAGAAGCUCAACUUGGUGCUCGCCCCUCUCAGAUUUGGCGAGCAAUAAUCGAGGGAAGAGAUGUGAUGAAGCAAGGAAUCAUUAGAAGGAUUGGAAACGGACAGACCACCGAUAUUUGGCUGGACAAUUGGAUACCAAAAGAACACACACCAAGGCCCAUUACGUCCCUCGUGCAAGACCCGCCGACGAAAGUGGCGGAGCUGCUACAACCAUCCACCGGAGGGUGGAACGAGGACUUGGUAAGGUCUGUGUUUAUUCGUUUUGAUGUUGAUGCUAUUUUGAGAAUCCCAGUGUGUACUCGCAAUGUUGAGGAUUUUUGGGCAUGGUACCCUGACAAAAAAAGGAAGGUUCUCUGUCAGUUCGGCUUACAAAUUUAUGGUAAGCACAAAACUGCAGCGCGAGGAAUGGCUUGAGGGCAGAUCAGGAUCUUCUUCAGGUGAGGAGGAGGGCAAAGCCUGGUCAGCAUUAUGGAAGAUAUCUAUACCCUCGAAGAUUAAAAUUUUUAUUUGGCGCUUGGCACGGCACUCGCUGCCUACCACGGAUGUCUUACACCACAAAAAUAUGGCAACCCAGGACACUUGCCCUUUGUGCGGGUGUCAGGACUCAUGGCGCCAUGCUUUGAUGUCCUGUACAAUGUCAAAGUGUGUGUGGGCACUAUCAGAUGCAGAUGUGGUGCUGGCAAUGCCAGAACUAGAGGAACCAAGUGCAAAGAGGUGGCUGUUUGAGUAAUACAGCAGGUUGGACCAUGCAAAGUUUACAUCAAUGACUGUCACACUUUGGGCUAUUUGGUAUGCACGUCGAAAAGUUGUGUACGAGGCAAUAUUUCAAGCGCCACACCAAACUAUUUCUUUUGUGAACAACUUCCUCGCUGACUUGCAAGAGAUACCUAAGCCUAACAAGGUGGUUUCCAUGACAGCACGGGUGGCCGGAACUAGGCGAUGGCUCGCUCCAGGAACCGGAUCUGUCAAAGUUAAUGUGGAUGGAGCAGUAGCGCGAAGCAGAAGGGGCGGAGCAGUGGCUGCACUAUGUCGAGAUGAGCAGGGCAACUAUCUGGGGUCCUCGGCAGUGGUCUAUGGAGGUGUUACUGAUCCCACGAUCUUGGAAACCUUUGCUUGCAGAGAGGGAUUAGCUUUGGCAGAAGAUCUAAAUGUUCAUGAGGUGGUUCUGGCUUCAGAUUGUGAGGGAGUUGUCAAUGACAUCAAUGAUGGAACAAGUGGGGCAAACUCAGCAAUCGUACAUGAAAUUACAGCUCGUAGUUCUGGUUUUGCUUUCUGCAAGUUUAUUUUUGAACGUAGAAACUUCAAUUUUGAGGCUCAUAAUCUCGCAAAGUAUGCAUGUAAUCUAGGCAUAGGUAGACAUGUGUGAUUGGGUAUUCCUCAUAACCCAGCUAGUGUACCUAUGAACAUCUCUCUGAAUUAAUAAAGCUUGCGAGAUCUCUAAAAAAAAACGUGUUGCAGGCGUUACGCGUGUACGACUCGGAACACGUACGCGUAAAGAUCGAGCAGGAGUUGUGCCGAUCGACGACGUACGCCUUCUCCGCCUUCCACUCUGAUCUGGUAGGGUUCGUUGCUAAUCGGUCGGGGGCCGCGUCGGAUACGGCUCCUACUCCUACCUCGAUUCAGAUAUCGAUCGAGCCACGCGCUACAAAUAUAUAUAUCCCCGCACGACGUACGCCACAAACCACCAAAGCAAACAUAAGACGAAAUUGAGCGGAACCAUGAGCCAUCAGAUCGAUCUGAAGACGAGCGACUGCACCAUGGCCGCCGCCGGCGACGACGACGACUGGGUGUACAUCGACGGUGACCAAGAGAUGACGGCUUCACCGGCGCCGGCUGUCGUAUGUGCCUGCGCCCCGGCGCCUGACGAUGCUGCGACGGAGGUGGUGGUUGCCGCGGACGCUGCCGGUGAUGGCGCAGCGGAUGACGCCGACGCCGUGGAAGACGAAGACGACUGCUCUGACUACUCCAACGGAGGCCGCCUCGAGAAAGCCUACGAGUUGGACCAAGACCUCGACCAAGUAGACGAUGAGUCCGAGCGGCAUGAGGAGGCCACCCCCGCACCGGCACCGGCGCCGUCAGCGCACGGCUACAACUCUCGCCACUCAGCCUACAUAGCACGACUCUUUGCCUCGUCGUACACCUCUUACGACGGCUACCGCAACGGAGGUUACGACACCAGCUCUGGCUAUGAUGGCAACGGCUAUGGCGGCGGAGGUUAUGACAGCGGCCUCUCAGACUAUGACUACGGCGGCGGACGUGGAGGUUAUUACCGCGGCAUCUCGGGCUAUGACUACGGCGGCCUAGGUUACUACUACUACCUCUUAGGCUAUGACUAUGGCAUGAGCGGCGGAGGAGGUUACGGCAUCGGCUUUGGCUAUCGCUACGGUGGCGGCGGAGGCUACGGCGGCAUCUCAGACUAUGGAUAUCGCUACGGCCGCAACGGAGGUCAUUACUCUGACUUUGACUACGGCGUCCUUGGAGAUCGUUACGACGGCAGCUCUGGCAAUAGCUACGGUUAUUUGUUCAUCGCAUAGGGGUGUGGUGCUUGGUAUCGUUUCAUCGCAGUAGAGUAAUAGUAGUUGGUAAUUGCUGUUUGGAUCUAUAUUUUGUUACGUAGUAUUAUUAUAUCUUGUCAGAAAGAAUUAAACUAUUAGUUAUAUUAAGUGUGUUGCUGAACUCUUGAACUUAUUUGCUACUUCUCCGUUGCUAUGAAAUCCUAUGUGACAGUUUGAUACUUCCUUUCUUACACGUAUAGCACUUACUUCCUCCGCUUAAGAAUUAGUCUAGAGAUAUAGAUCCGUUUAAGCAUCAACUAAUUCAAGAUGGAGGGAGUAAUAUAUAACCCAAGUCCCAACUAAUAGAAGAUUAGCAUAGCCUAAGCGCGCGGCGCCCAUUGCCCAUAGAAGCGCCCAUCAUUAAAUUAGAUGUUGACAAUAUUGGAGGAUUUAUAUAAAGGUAAUGAUCGCUGCGCCCCUCUGGAUUUUUGUUAUAUGAAGAGAAACUAGUGUUGUUGUUGUAGAAAAUAAAGUUAGCUAAAUCUCAACGGCUGGCUUCAUAACAUCUCACCAGAUUCAGAUUUAGCAAACUUUAGUUGGGUUGCACUGUCAUGCAACAUAAAAAUUGUUGCAUUGGCACAUCCAGAUGCGCAUAAUGCAUUAAGUUUUAUUUUCAUGAAUAGUGAUAAUGGCACACCAGUUAACAAAUGCUCACUUAAAUAACAAAGCAAGGUUCUUAGCUCUAAGAACAUCCGUAUAUGGGCAAUUUCAGUCCCUCCUACGGUCUUGUUAAGAAGCCUUCAAGUCUCAUACACCAGUCAUGUAAAACUGCAAAAAGAACACGCAGACCAACAUCAAGCAACCUUUUCAGCCUACCAUUAGUGAACUUUGGACUUCCAGUGGAAAAUCCAGUGAAAAGCAGCUAGAGAUAUGCAGAUCAAUGUACUCUUUCCAAGACUAAAUUGUCCAGGGAAGAGAAAAAUAGCCUUUCAUGUAUUAAUUAUGUUAUAAAUCUUCUAGUAAAAGAACUUGUACUCUUUUUUUCAUAUACUCCCCCCACACUAGGUGAGCGGGUGGUGUGGGGGUGAAGAGAAGAAGAACAACACAACCAGCAUGAGGAGCACCCAAAAGGCUAGAACCAAAACCAAAAACCGAACAUGGCAGGCCACAGCAGCAUCCCACAAACUAGCAACCGUCACUCGGGCGCAAAACAGAACGUGAACCCUCCUCGGUUUGCCAUGAUAGAGUUAGUUUCAAGAGCCACGCAGAUAUCUUCAGGCGACUGGCGAUGCCAGGUCCCCUUACUGAUUUUUUUGUUCAUCUUCAGAGCUUGAUGCAGCUUCGCGGCUUCUGGGCGCAAGUGCCUGGAGAAUCUCACCUCCAUCCACCAACGCCUGUUUGUCCUCCGGCGAAUGGAAACCUUCCAACUAUUUCAGGAACACACAGUCCGUAUAACAAACAUACCAGUUCAGCAGGGGAACGAAUCCCCUUCCAUUCGAAACGAGCAUUAUUUCUAAUUUUCAGAAGAGCCAAGCACACAGCUGCACUCCAGUAAGGAUAUAUGACAGAAUUUUGUCGGAAGUCUAUAACCAACGAUGUGAUAAUGAAAGUACCAGAAUGUGAAGCGUAAAAUGGAUUUAAAAUAGUAUGAGAACAGUUACAUGGUAUCCUUUCCGAAAAAGUUCAGUCUUGCCAUGGAACUUCAUAAAUUAAAGAAAGUAACAUCUAAUGCAAACAUGAGAUUAAGCAGCCUAACUACCGAAGCUACUAGCAGCUAACUACAGAUGAACACGAACAUGCAAAGUUCUAAAAGAAGCUUACUCUUUCAGCACCACCAUCAUAGCACACUACGUAUCGCUGUAGUUUCCAAAACCAAGGAAGUCCAUCGCAUUGUUCCCACAAGCAAACAGAGUCAAGAUCAAUUCUGCCAAUCAGAAACCCUUUUGCACUCAACCGCAGCAUCGCACUACUGGGUUGGUGAUCAUAGGACGGAGAGGUGUGUUAGUAAUAGGACGUUGCAAAUUUAUCUCAUCCAAUCUCGACUACACACAAGUGCUUCAAUCGUCUCGAUGCUCAGUGUGCUCUGGUGCUUUGGAAUUACUGGCCUGCUGCUACUGAAUGCUGCUUCAGAUUGAACAGCAGAUGCCGGCAUCGCUAAGACGUCCCGGGCAAUAGCAGCAAGUGUGGGGUACUUUGUGGUGUGUUCCAUCCACCAUUUAAGAAUGUCAAAAUCGUCUUUUCUUGGGACUAGAACCUCCCCAAGGUAGUCAUCAAGUUCUGAAGACAUCUGGCAAUUGAGGUGCUCAUCCCAAUCUUCCAAAGGAUCAUUAUCAGCUGUAUCCAGAGCUGCACUCCUUAAAAGACGGACGCCACUCAGCUGCUCUGUAGCAUUGUAGUAUUCAUCGAAGAGUUCCUGGACCGUAUCAUGUAUUUCAGAUAAGUAGCCCAGCGAGUCUGUGCUGUAAGCCCGUUGCAGGCGAAAUUGAAUGAAGCUCAUCUUGAAUCUUGGAUCUAACACGACAGGUAUUGACAGCCACACGUAUGAGUUUUGCCAAUACUCAUCGAACGCUUCCUGCAUCUCCAUGACCAGAGUCACAAUCUCUACGUGAUCGUUUGAUGCUUCUUCUUGCAGAACUGUCCUCACUUUCCAUACCUCACUGAAGUAUACAUUUGCUGUCGGAGAGCUAGGGCUAGAAACUACUUCGAUAACACGAUAAAAUGUCCUCAAAAUCUUGCAAAUAGGCCAAGUAGCUGUCAUAUCUUCUGGAGACAGCACUUCUGCAACAGGAAACAACUUGUUGAAUUGCAGCACAACUUCAAGCCUAAAAUAUAACUUGUGCCACCACUUGGCAUCUUCUUGCGGACAUUUCAAACUCAUCUGUGAAAUAACUUCCAGAAGCUGCUGUUGCAUCGAUGAUGAAGAUGCACAUGCCCCAAAAAAGUCCUUUACUAUGUCACCAACAAGGAAAAGUAUAUAUGAUCGUCCAUCAGAAACAACACUGUUUAGCAUAUCAUCCACACAAGCAAUGUUGUACAGCUUGCCUCUGAUGGGAAGGCACCUCUUCUUUAUGAGCAUCUCCUUGAGCUUCAAGGUAUUUGCAUCAUUCUUAAUUUCACCAACUGAAGUCAAGCUCAAAAUCUUCUGGUCAAGAUUCCAGUCUCUGAUUGCAUCCCAUAUGACAUUGUAUGAUCCACUUUCCGACUCUGGAACACAAGCCUCCUUGCAGUGUAUUAUCCUUUCCAAAUUAGUAGGUGAAUACAUGCCGAAUUUGAUUACUAAUCUGUGAAUUUUCCAGUCUUCAGUAAUAAAAUGUGCUGUCAAACAGAGGUAAUUUACUGUCGGCUCAGGUCCAUCAUGAGUCCAGAUGCUUGCUGACAGUGAGAUACGCUGGGAGGUAAGUGCAAUUUCAUCCUUGACGUUUAUCUUCUUCUUCUGAAACAGAGCAAGUAAAUGUUCUUCCAUAUCACUAAGAGAGACUUUGUUAGUCAUGGGACUGAUGUUCUUCAAAAUUCUUCUCAUAUCUUCAUUCUCUACAAUUGACAAAGGAUAACCAUGCAAAGUUAUCAAUCUGGCGAUAUCUUGAUAAGGUGAAUCUUGACCAAACUUUCUGGUGCUUAUCGCAGCUGCAUUAGUCAUAGACGAGGUCUUCUGUUUCUUCAGCCCUGUACCAUCUGGUGCUGGUAGGGAUAGAUGAUCUGCCACCACUUGAAUGGGCCGAUAGGUGAUGCCACUGGAGCUGCUAGCCCUGCGGAGCUUGCUAGAGCAUUUUGUACCACCUGGUGCUUGUAGGGAUAGAUGAUCUGCCACCACUUGAAUGGGCUGAUAGGUGAUGACACUGGAGCAGCUAGCCCUGCGGAGCUUGCUAGAGCAUUUUGUGAUUUGAGCUUUCCUGGCAGGCGAAGACUCGUCUCGCACCCUGGACUUUAAUUUAGGUAGACUAGAACAGUUACCCUUAUGAUGACUUUGGUCAUGCCCAUGUCGUUUUGAACAGGCUAGAGCAUGUCGAUUCAGAUGGCCUCCGUGUUUGCUGAGGCGCUUGUGGCAAUGGAUGCAUUCUGCACCCUGCAGUUUCCCCUCAACGAAGAUGGGUGUGAAACCCUCCCAUAUUUUUGACCUCCAUUUUAGGGGACUUACUGAGCUUAUGUCGUCGAUCGUCACUGCAAAAAUUUCAUCAACAAAAACAUGUGAUGAAACUGGAUUAAUUUGAUUCACCAAAACCUUGUAUACAAUACGAAUAGAUACUUUGUGCCAGAGUUCAAUUAUCUUAAUAAAGGAAUAUCUGUGUAUCCGGAUCUUAAACUACACACCGCUAACUAACAAAUCACAAUUAUUAAAGUUGACUGGACACCGUUAGCUAGGUAAUGAAUGGAACCUCGAUAUGCAAAAAUGGACAUUCCAUUUGGGAAGUAGGAAUCUACUACUACUAAAGUGUGGUCUACACACUGAGCCAAGUAGAAGGUAAUGGCAUGGAGCCUCAAUAGGCAAAAAUGAACAUACCAAUUGGGAGGCAGGAAUCCUGUGGCGACAUCCACUCCGUCACUUCGGCCGACGUCGAUUCCGGUUUGGCUGGGCAGGUUUUCAGAUGCCGGCGCAGAAAGAUAUUCCCAUUGUAGCCGAGGCGGUUGUGGCAGUGGAGGCAGUCUGCAAACUGAACCUUCCCAUUCAGAUAGAUCGGCUGGAACUCCUCCCAGAUCGGCUGCAACUCCUCCGGCGCCACCUUGGACUGAUUCUUGAGCCUUUUUCUGGGCGAGAUGUGAGCACCAUCAAAUUUAACCAUCGCCUUCAUGCUGACAUCCUUCUCAUGCUUACCAGGAUUCCCCAUAGCUUCACAGCAACUCAGUCAAGUAUGAAAAGAACACACAUAUCAGUCCAAGAAGAUGGCUUCACAUAACCUCAGUAAGUAUGUAAGAUGAAAUCCAUAUAUUUCCAAGAAGAAACCCUACAUCGAUCUGAGUACAUGACAUCCUCCAUAAUUUCAAGACCAUAAGGACACACAGACACACAUACAUAUGCUUCUUGCCCGGCCGUCCGCCAAAAUAAAAAACACAUAUUUGUGGAUUCAGUCUCCCGGCCUAAAACCUAGAUUACCGAGCGCGAGCGCCCAACACUACCACAAUCCGAAGCAUCCUGCUAAGCGGAAACUUCUUCCAGGCACGAAAUGUCACAGAACUCGACCAAAAAUGGCACCUUUUGCUCCGUAUGUAAUGUAGCAGAGCACAGCGCGGCGGGGGUUUCUUGAGCAGCGCGAGGGGAAACAGAGCAAGGGGGAAAGCAGAGCAGAGCGACGGCGGGCUAACCUGAACCGCCGGGAAGCGAUCGCCGACGCAUGGUGUGUGGUCCCGCCGGAAAACCGCCGCUCCUCGGCGGGCUCGCCGGGCGCUUCCCCCCAAUCUUUCCCUCCCUCCUUCGGUGGCGAGAAUGGGCUUCCGCUUCCUGGAGGAGGAACCACCUACCCCUAAGACGAGAUGCGUGCACUGGGCUGGGCUUCUUGGUGGGUCGGCCCUGCUAAAACCCAGAUAAUCUAUUGGUUCGGCCUGGAUUCAAGGCUGGAUGGGCUUAUAUUGGGUCAAUCUCAUUCUGUCUUCUUGAUUUCAGCUCUUAUUCUGUCCUUGUCUCAAAAAAAAAAAGCUCUUAUUUUGUCCUUCCAAAAAAAACUCUUAUUCUGGGCUUCCACUCACAGGUCCUUCUACAUCACUAUCUACCAUUAUUAUUUCUAAAACCAGAUCACUUAUUUUGGGAUGGAUGGAGUAAGUCGUAUGUCAGGGUUUACUCAGAGAACUGCAGCCGCCACCGGAGAAAUUCCUGUCCCUUCACCUUCUGCCAUCUCGGCGUUGAGAGAUGGAGGACCUCGAAUCUUUAAGAGUUAUGUUUUCUUCGUCAACAUCUAGUGGUGAUCAUAGUUUUGUGCGAAUAAAGUUACUCUUUUAUUUUAUUUGGCAAAUUCGAUUAUACAGAUCUAAUGAGUUUAUGUUAUUGUGUCAAGUUGUUUUUGCUGGUUUGAUUAUUUGUGAAGUUGGAAUCUUACAUCGACAUUGUGACUUGAUAGUGUGCAAUUUUGGUGGAUCGUCUCUGGCCAAGUACGUUAUCACUCAAGGUUUUUCAUUUUUUUGGAUGGACGACUGAAUGGGCUUUCAAAAACCUUUAUUAGCAAUCAAGUCCGUGUGGAUGAAAAAGUGACAGUGUCGUUUUACCAAAGUCUUGCGGAGACUGAUAGCAUAACAAAGAUAAUUUUAAAAGAUUAUAUUGUAAUUCUUAAUCAUAAAAGGUACUUUAUUUAUUUAUUUUGGAUAUUAGAUCCAAAUCAAUGUAUUUGUAAUAGACUAAUAGUUAUGGGCAUGAUUUUUUGGAUGCCUCAGUUUGAUUUAGUACACACAAGUUUUCUAUCAUGAUUAACAUUCUUCCAUUGUUUUCUGAAAGGUCAGGGGUGUUUGGCCCAUGAACAUCUUCCGUUAACCCCAUGUUUAGGUAUCAUCAGAGAAGGCGCUUAGAUUAUUUGCCACACUAUCAAGAUUUAGGCCCGGUGUCACUCUGCUCCACAACUCCGCUCCCGAAGCUAGUGAAGCUGUAGUUCAAAAUGACGGAGCUGCAAUUUCCUCCAGAUUCUGGGAGUUGGUGGAUUACCAAACAUGGUCUUAGAUGAUUUGCUCCAGGGUUAUUUGCCACAGGUACUGACUUACAGGGCCCCGUCAAUCUUGAGAGGGGUGGGGUGAUCAUCAAAUGGGAAAGUAAAGUGUGGGUUAAGUCUAAUUUCACGUAGAGGCCAGCAAGAGCUUCAUUUCUAGGCCGCCUCAAAACCCCGGUGACGCCGAUGUCGCCGACUGUUUGAACUUUGAUCGGCAGGCCGCUCAGUCAUAGCCAGCCGCCAUGCCCCACAUGGCGAUUUGGCUGCAAGUUCAGUGACAAUGUGAUAUCGAGCCAUUGCAUGUACACAUUAAUUUGGUCCCUGUACAAAUACAUGCUCUGCUGUGCGUGUGAUUCGGUCGUCUAAUCUGGGAUUUUCUUAUUACCGGCAGCACAAUGAAAGACAUCACAAGAGUUACCCUUAAUGAAAGGCAACUCCUGUGAAGCUUAAAUUCCACAUCAAUGCCUGGGUUUAUUUCCACAUACAUGAGUCAGCUCGGGUGACUUCACUUCUGCGAGGUGGGCAUGGAGAGAGAAACGCGCUGGGGAGACGACUCCUUCCACUGCUGCGUGAUGGUCUUGAUCUGGGUGAAGAACUGCACGCCCGCCUUGCCUGCGCAUCCAUGUUUACCGUGUUAAUUACUUAUGCCCAGAUGUGAUUGUAUUGUAGGUCAGUAAUCUGCUGAAGAAGGAUCAAAUGAGAUGAUUAGCAGGCGCACCGUAGAAAUUCAAGUCUCCGGCGAAGGAAGCUUUGCUACCCGUGAAGGAGAAGAACGGCAGGGGUACCGGGAUCGGCACGUUGAUACCCACCUACAAAGGAAAGCGAUACAUUGUGAUUCAUACGGGCAGUACUCUUCUUGUUUAUGUUAACUUCAACUUCAAAAUGCUGAAUUUCAGGCGACCAUAUAUAUGUGUUUACCUUCAGGUUAUAUUCCAAUAUCUAGCAAGAAACAAUACACUACUAGGUUUGACAUUUUCGCCAAAACGUUUUCAGACCUUGUAAUGUAGGAGUACUACCCAACUACUAGCUUACACGAUUAGGUAACUAAUCCUUCACAAAUGCUAUGCAGUACCUGGCCAGCUUCAAUGUCCGUCUGAAAUUUCCUUGCUGAGACACCAGAUGUGGUAAAGAUGGAAGCCCCAUUGCCAUACCUGAGGACGAUUUGCAAAUCAUUAAACUGCAACCAAUGCUUUGCCUAUGAGCUCACAGGAGAGAGAAAUUACUUGUUUCUGUUUACAAUUUGUAUGGCAUCAUCUAGGCUCUCUGCCUGCAAUUAAUUGAUAACACAAUCAGCAUAAUAAAAAUUUAAUGGUGUCAAGAGAAGUAAACAAGUUUGUUAUACCUUCAUCAAGAGAAGAACUGGACCAAAAAUUUCCUCCUGUUUCAAGUUUUCCAGGUUUCAAUCAGAUAUAACAAGCCAAAUGGUCGUCCAAUUCUAUCUUGGGAAGGAAAAGGUGGGUACUCUUUUUUAAAAUAAUGUUAAAACUGAUGCAAAGUAAACAUUAUAAAAAUACCUGGUAACACUCCAUAUCACUUUUAACAUCAGCCAACACAGUUGGACCAAUAAAGUUGCCAUCCUCAAAUUGAGGAACCUGCACAGCGCAUAGCUAUCAGGCAUAACAGGAAUUGCACACAGGCAGUUCAACAACUGAAUUCUUAAAAUUACCACAAUCUCCCUUCCAUCCAGCACAAGUCGAGCACCACUGUCAGCGCCACUUUGGACUAACUUGCAGAUGCGGUCCUUGGCCUAUUGAUACCAAACUGUUAGGGCACAAGAUUCACCAAGAAAACAAAGGGCUCUAAUACCAAUCUAGAACUCCCUCCAGUUCCCCAAAAGCAGAAGUUUUGGACAUCGACAUGGUCUAAAACCACAACUCUGGUCACUGUUUCUCUAUAUAUAAAUCCUAACAAAAUUAUGAUAUCAUGGAAGUACUUUUGAAGAUAAUUCCUAAGUUCUAAACUUCUAAUCCAAAUACUUGAAAAUAUAGGUAGACAGAACUUUUAAAGAGUCAAAACGUCAACAAUCUGUGAACUGGAGUAAGUGAUAUGAAUCCUGAGGUCACAGAGAAGCCUCCAAAAAGAAAAUUGACUAUUAUAUUAUCAAGCUAAUAUUUAUGAUAAUUUAUUUCUAUGGUCCAAAUGUGGGCCCUAGUAGCUUAGGCCCACAACAAAAAACUCAGUUAAUCACGAACAUGGCAGUGGCAUAUAGAUGUGCUCCAGGCAGAGAUUAUGACAGGGGAACUACUAGUUACCAUUGCAAUGACUAUGAAGGUAGAUCUAAAGCUCAUGACGUACAGUCAAACUCCAAAAGCUAAUAUGUUUCCGGAAAGGCUAUACCAUAUGUCAACAGUUCAUCAUCACUAAAAACAAGUGUAGCAUUUUUUUUCACUGGGAUCAUACUCCAUACAGAGGCUAUACGAAGAUUACUCACUCAACAUUUCAUGAUUAAUUCUUCUAAAUAAACUUGAGUGGUUAAUAAGUAACUACUGUUCUAUCGUCCAAUUUUAAACAGGUAAUCAAGCAGCCUUUUGGAGAUCUAAACUUCAUAAGAUCUCCUUUUACCCCUUCAAUUUAAAAGUUUGAAUAUCUUCCGACAAAAAAAAGGAUCCUAAGUUCAAAUAUUCAAUUUAAAAAAAAAAUCAGUAUGUAUCCAUAAGUGGGAAAAUAUGAAUAACAUGGAUACAAAAACAUGUGCUCAAAAAAGCAAACCUGUGUACUGAUCACUGGACCAAGGUCAGCAUCAUUAGCUGUUCCAGAAUUAACUACAAGGUUGCUUGCACGUUUGACUAGUUCAUCCUCCCUAAAACAAAAGAUAAGGUUGACAAUGCUUCCCCAAAAUCUGACCCAAAAAAAACUUUAGCCUAAAAAAUUUGUCUUGGGUAAAAGUCGUAGAACUCUACCAUGGUUCUGAACCUCCAACAAAAACAGCAGUGCUCAAUGCCAUGCACCUUUGCCCAGCUGCACCAAAACCGGCAGCAAUAAGGGCAUUCAAUGUGGCAUCUCGAUCAGCAUCAGGAAGGAUAAUGGCAUGAUUCUUUGCACCCAUGUUACACUAAAGGAAACAGAAACUGUUAUUCUGAAUUAUACUGCUUAGAAUGCAAAAGGCAUGGAAAAAAGGUUAUUCAGGAAGUCAUGAUUAGAAGCAAACCCACCUGAACACGCUUCCCACUCGCAGAUGCUCUAGAAUAUAUAUGCAUACCUGCCUGAGAAGGAGAGAGAGAUCAGAGAUAGCAAACUGCUAGCUAGCUCUGAGCAACAGGAGUACAAUAGCAAUAGGGUUAAAAAUCUAAUGUAAAUGAUCAAAAAUAGAACUUAUAAGUUAUAACUGCACAUCUCUCUUUUCUUCUGCACAUCUUUCAAUACAAGAGAACACAUACCAUUAACACGCUUCUUCUAUCAAUGCAAUGAUACGCAAGCUUUGCAUAUUCGCGGAAAAAAAAAACAUGCCAUUAACACGAAUACAUGAACAGCAAGAACACCUGUAUUGGCACAAAAAACUCUUAUUUGCAUCUUGGUAAAUGAAUUUAUUGGUCAGCACAGUAAGCUAAUUAAGUUUUGAAACACUAUAAUAACACAUAAAAAGAUCUGUCAUGUGUGCAUGUGAUUGAGAAUGCAUGGAUAUCCUUGUUUCUAGAGUGAGGUCUGGUUGAUGACCCAAGAGCGGAAAACAAAUAUGUCGAUACGUAUCGGAAGAGCAGAAUAUUAGUUAGAUGGUCGAUGCAGGAAAGUGUACUCGUAAAUCAAGGUUCAGGGAGAUCAUUGAUCCACUUACUGUAUUGGAACCAACAAAUGAUACUGCCUUAAUAGCCUCGUCAUCACAAAUAUUGUUGACAACAUCCUGAUAAAGUAAAACAAAAUGAGAACCAGGUAACCUAAGAGGCCUAAUAGAUUCAUGUAUCCAGAAAAGGCAUAAAAGAUUCAUGUAUCCAAUAUGAGCAGAUAAUUCUCCAGAGGAAGUGUGAAGUUUCAAGAUGUGCUGCUUUGCCAGUGUUCCAAAGAGUAAAGACAAUAGGCUUUGCCCACAAAGUAUCAAUCAUUUUAUGUGUUCUAAAAUGAAACAACACCAGGCAUCAGCAGCACAUGAGAAGCAAAUUAUCAAACCCAAUGGCAAGCUAAAAAAAAGCUAAGAAUGCCGUACAUGGGUACCAUGAACAAUGUUCAACACACCCUUUGGUAAACCAGCCUCCAUCGCUAGCUCCGCAAGCAUCAUAGCAGCCCCUGUUCACAAAUACAAUACCAUCAAAUCUCAAAAUUAAUCGUGUGCAGUCUUUCUGUCAAAAUGGCCGAGAAUUAAAGCAUUUUAAAGGACCCCCAUUUACAAUGAUACAUGGUACUUUAAAACGUGGCAAAUGAUCAAAUCCCUCCUUUCAGAGUUGGAAAGCACGUUUCAAGUGUGAUAUAAAUUAUGCAGUAGCGUUGAGCCCAUCUCUAUAUCCUGUUUUGGAUUCUUGGUCAAUAUCUUUGUCCUUUUGCCCCCUGUGAGCAGGAUUUUAGGCCGUUUAGGCCUAGUUUGGCAGCACAGUUUUUCAAAACCCUAAAAAUCUAAAAACCUCAGUAUUCCAAUGCAUGGGCAACGAAUACUAGAGUUCCUAAGAAUCACAGUUUUUCGCAGUCAGUUAAGAAAAAAGAGGUUGAGACCUCUUUUUCAAAUACUGCAAAAAAAACAUGGUAUUGGAGAUACUACGGUUUAUGCAAGUGCUACAUUUGUUGAUGCCAAACACAUCAAAGUAUUUAAAACCAUGCUUUCUAAAAAGACCACGGUAUUCUCUUAAAACUCCAAAAAAAAACGAGAUGCCAAGCGUAGCCCUACAUUUUAUAUUACAAGAAUCUACUACACAUACCAUAGGGGGUUCCCCUACAGUAUUCCUGUCCAAAACGUAUAUUUUAUAGUGCUAUUGUACAACUAAUGAAAAUGUGAAACUUGGCUGCAACUAUUAUGCACCAAUUCCUUAUGAGACCGAAAGGUAUAUUUGUCAUAAUAAUCAUGGCGAGAAAUACAGCACCGUUACCAAUCUUCAAAUGUUAGCUAAGCAAGAACACAUGCACUUUUGCAUUUAGUUAGUAAACGCCACAACAACAAUAAAUAGUCAACAAAUUGGGCAAGAACACAAUGGCAAAAGCAAGCACCUGGAUCCUUUUCUGAUGGCUUUAGAACAAAAGUAUUCCCACAAGUAACAGCUAUGGGGAACAUCUGCAUCCAAAGAACAUAAGAAAAAACGCAUGAUCAAAUUUUCUCUCCCGAGUUUAUAUUACAAAGAAUGAUAGCAGACAUUAACAAACAAAGUUACAGACAGAACAAGGCCAGGAAAUUGUACAGGGGAUGCACUCUAGAGCCCUGAUAAGUAAUAAGAACAAAAUUUGAUGUUAAAGAAACAGUGAAAGUCGGGCAUACCCAUAGGGGAAUCAUGGCAGGGAAAUUGAAUGGGCAAAUCCCAGCACAUACGCCGAGUGGCUCCCUAAUACUAAAGGUGUCAAUCCCAUGAGAAACAUUAGAUACGUAUUCGCCCAUUUGAAGUGACCCCAUUCCACAAGCAUGCUCCACCACCUCUACAAGAUUAGAAGUUUGAAAUCAAAAAACGUACAUCCAGUUUGUUAAAUAGCCAAUAUAACCAAGAGGCAUCUACGAAGAAAAUGUCACUUCACAGAAUAAGCGUAUUAAGGGCAGAUAAAAGAUACUGGUGGCAUCGACAUGUCCUGCAGUGUAGAAGGUGUGGAAAAUAGAAUAUCGUGUCUUAAACUGCAUACAUGAGGAUAACCUGCUAUUAUAUGGAUGAUUUAUUCUGCUUACUGACCAGUUUGUAUACCUUCUAGCGGAAUAGUGUUAUUACAUAUUCCAAGCAUGAACAGAGAGAGUGAACUCAUCAGACUAGCUUGCGGGUUGCCCGUGUAUCAACAACUAACACGAUUGCGGUGUUAAGAUGAUUAUACUAUCUAACCAAUGCAAGCAGAAAAAGGCCAAAAACAAGUGUAAUGACAUGAAAACUAACCUAGACCACGGAAUACAUCACCCCAAGCAUCUUUCAGUGUCUUUCCCUGCUCGGUUGUAAUGUUCUCUGCCAGCUUAUCCUAGUAUUUAUCACCACCAAAUAAGCACAGAAUUAAUCACCACCAAUGAAGCACAGAAUUUACUGCAGCAGGAACCAAUAACUGAUGGUUUCUAUUGAUGGACAUUGGAAUAAGUUCAGAAAUAAUACUACCAUGUUGGCCCGGAUGAGCUCCUGGUAUUUGAACAUGAUGCGCUGCCGCGCCGUGACCGGAGUGUUCCGCCAGCCAGGGAAGGCGGUCCUGGCAGCGUCCACCGCGGCCCUGAACUCGUCGGCGGUGGUGAGCGGGAUCCGGGACACCACCUCCUGCGUCGCCUGCGACAUGGAAAUGCCCGCGUCACAUCACAUCUCGACAGCUAUAAAAUCGACCAGCUCCGGCUGGAGGGUCGACCGAUUGGGAGGGACCGAGAGGCGGGAGGAUGGCUUACGGGGUUGGUGACGUCGACGUGCUCGGUGGCCUUCGACUCGACGAAGUCGCCGCCGAUGAGUAGGCGCACCCUGGGCUGCGAGCGCGUGGAGGCGGCAGUAAGUCACACCAGGCGGAAAUGAUGCAUACACGGAUAGGAAUGACAGAUUGGGGGUUCCGGGAGGGGUGUGCGCGUACCGGCGACGAGGUCCCCUCGGCGAGCCACGAGGCGGCGGCGGUGGAUAGCGGGGCGGCCAUCGGCGACCGGCGGAGGCCGGAGGCUGCGACGGGGAAGGGGGUCAGGAACCGCGUGCGGCCUCAGGGGGUGGAGAACGGGGAGGAAGGGAGGGAGGGGAGCGAUCUACCUGAGCGGAGGAGGACGGCGCGAAGCAUCGUCGGUCGUCGGCGGCGGUGGUUGCGUCUGGGAACAGGGGUGUGGAGUGGAGCGGAGCGGUGGCGAGGAGGGAGGGAGGAAGAGGGGAGGGGAGAGCGGAGUGGCGACAGGCGAGGAGCGGUUGUUGGUGUCGUAUUCGUUGUACUAUCUGCCACCCGGCUGCGCCGCCGCGGCGGCGGAGGAGAUGGGAAGGCAGACGUCACGGGAUUCUCUUUCCAGCUAGGAUAUCUCUAUCUCUGUCUUUUUUAUUAUAAUCAGCCGUAUGAUUAUUUCUUGCUUUAAGAUUCGUGUUGGAGAGUUGGCUGUCUCGUUUUCAGCCUGCUAAGGAGAGCGUCCAGCCCGAUUCUCUGCUUGUCUGUGUCUUCCGUUGUUUGGGCUGUUUUUUGUUUGGACCAAUCUAGCUGGCGGCCGGGCGCUAGGUACCGCUCGCGAGCGGCCGGCCCCUGUCCGAGACGUCUAGUCACUGCCGCAUAUUAAAAACGCCAGGUAGAGUUUGGGAGCGGCCGGUGGAAAAGGUAAGUACGUGGUCCAUUGUACACUAAAGGGAGUUGACCAUCUAGUUUGCUUUUUAAUUUUUGUUUCUUAAAAAAGUCAUAACUUUUGAACCAAAUAUCGAAAUUAAGAUCCGCUUUCACCACUGAAAUCCUCGCGAUGUGCUCUUCGAAACUAGAUCCCGCAUGGAUAUGUUUUGACAAACCUUUUUUUGUGCAAUUUUGUCCCCGUUUUGUGUAACUGACUAGCCGUCGAUGUGCAACUACCUGACAGGGAUGUGCAAUUUUUCUUGUACACCGUAGACAUGCAGUUUUUCUCUAUGGUACCUCCAUCCCCAAAUUGCCUCCUUUCAGUGAGAUGUGCAACUUCGUUUGUUGCCCAGGCCAUGCAAUUUUCACUAGUGGCACCACCCCAUACUACUCUCUAAAAUUGAAAUGUGCAAUUUCAUCUGCUGCCCCGGUGCCCUGGCCAACUGCCUGGUAGUCAUCGCGCGUGUGAGCCUCUACAACCGCGUUUGAGGGACUAUCCUGUAAGAAUGUCCCAACUCCACGGCCACGCAUGUGCGACUAUGAACACAAGAGUGUGCAACUCCGUGGUCGGACGUGGGCACCUCCCAUAGCAAUUCAUGUGCGACUAUGCAGACGAUAUUGUGCAACUGUGUGGCCAUGCAUAUGUGACUAUGCCGACGAGAGUGUGCAACUCCGUGGCCGGGCAUGAGCACCUCCCAUAAAAACUCAUGUGUGACUAUGUGGACGAGGUUGUGCAACUCCAUGGCCAUGUAUGUGCGACUGUGCCGACGAGAGUGUGCAACUCCGCAGCCAUGCGUGAGCACCUCUCACGGCAAUUUUAUGUGUGACUAUGCGAAUGAGAUUGUGCAACUCUGUGGCCAUGCAUGUGUGACUAUACCGACGAGAGUGCGCAACUCCGCGGUCGGGCGUGAGCACCUCCCCUGGCAAAUCAUGUGCGACUAUCCGGACGAUAUUGUGCAACUCUAUGGUCAUGCAUGUGCGACUAUGCCGAUAAGAUUGUGCAACUCUGUGGCCAUGCAUGUGUGACUAUACCGACGAGAGUGUGCAACUCCAUGUAGACAACUUUUCUGCACCCUCAUGGUCUACGGAUGUGCAUUUUUUCACCAUUCAACAAAACCAUGUCAGUGAGAUGUGCAACUUUAUCUGUUGCCCUGGCCAACUGCCUAGCAGAUUUUGUACAACUACUUCUAUUUCCCCUGCCAACUACUUUCAAUGACCGUGUCCAACUGAAAACAACUAUAUGUGCAACUAGAACUACUAUAGAUGCCAACAAAAAAUGAUCGCCGUGUGUGCAACUUUCCAAUGACCAUGUCCAACUGAAAAAAACUAUGUGUGCAACUAGAACUACUAUAGAUGCCAACAAAAAAUGAUCGCCGUGUGUGCAACUUUCCAAUGACCAUGUCCAACUGAAAAAAACUAUGUGUGCAACUAGAACUACUAUAAAUGCCAACCAAAAACGAACCCCGUGUGUGCAACUUUCCAAUGACCGUGUCCAACUGAAAACAAUUAUGUGUGCAACUAGAACUACUAUAGAUGCCAAUCAAAAAUGAACCCUGUGUGUGCAACUUUUCAAUGACCGAAUCUAACUGAGAACAAUUAUGUGCGUAAUAUCUAGAAGUAAUAUAGAUGCCAAUAAAAAAUGAUCGUUGUGUGUGCAACUUUCCAAUGAUCGUAUCCAACUGAGAACAAAUAUGUGUGUAAUUAAAACUACUAUAGAUGCCAACAAAAAUGUGCAACUCCACGGCGCGCAUGUGCAGCAAUGUAGUUUCUUCAGAAAAUAGAACAAUAAAAGUCUGAAUUUUUUGAAAACUUGAUGUAUUCCAACAGAUGGGCCAGCAUGUUCAGUACUUAGAUAAACUACAGAGCUCAAAUCAGCUGAAUCCACUAGUACCUGUAGAGCAUCAAAUCGGCUGCAGAGCGAUACGCGCCAAAUCGACUACAGAUCUGAAAUGAUCAUAUCCAACUCAGAACUAUUAUGUGUGCAACUAUAAUUAUUGUUAACGCCAACAAAAAAUUAGUAGCAUAUUAUAGCUGCCCAAACACAAUACCUCCGCUUCUUCUUUUGCUAAAUUCAGUAGCAUAUUCAACAGCCCAAAGCACAUACAUAGCACCAUCUUCAGUAGGAAAAGAAAAUUCAGCAACACUCCAUAGGAGCAACAACAUAUGCAUCAACACAAAAAUUCACUAGCACCGCGACCAAAGCAACGGUAGAACUCCAGCCUAUGCUGGUCUUGCAACACGCAUGAAGUAGGUCCCUGCUAGCUAGUGUUUUCCCUUCCCUUGUAACUUCCCUCCUGCGUUCAGAAAUGCGUCAAGAACAAAAGCAACAAGAAUCCCGUGUAAUCUGUGCGAUGGUAAUCAGGUGCAUGCUAAACCUUUUCUCAGUUGCUUCUUAUUUUUGUCUUAUUUUAUCAUCAUCAAACAAGCAAGUGGGAGGGAAUGGGUUCAAUCAGGACGAAGGGGGAUAAACUCGGACGACAUCAGAGGAAGGAGACGACGGCCGCAUCUCGUCGAGGAUGAUGGCCAUCCCGUCGACGCAGAGGCCGUAUCCCGUCGACGACGGAGGGGAACGACGACGAUGGGACUGGAUCCGGUAGGGGAAGGAGCAAUAGGACGGUAGGCGGGAUGUCGUGGUGGGGGCUGGUGGGGGCGCGGCCAAGCCUCCCCUCAACCGGUGGAGCGCGGUGGCCAGCCGGUGGAGGUUUCUGGUGGUCGGCGUUGAGGGGAGACGCCAGUGAGCCCCCUCCGAUCCAGAUCUGUGAGGAAGGGAGAAUAGACAGAAAGAGAGAGACGGGUUGGGAGAGAACGAGGGAGAGGUAGGUUGGCUGCCGACCAGAUGGCACCUGAAGUGGGGACGGACGCGCGUGAUAGAGAUCGUGUGGUUCCCAGCCGGCCGCUCGAUCGCGUCAAAUCGUGCGCGGACACUUUUUAGAUUUUAGGUUUUUGUUUUCGCGUUGUGAUUUUCUCACUUUUGUUAUCUGUGUAUGUAACAGGCCAUGCGUGUAGGUCUUUCUCAUUUUGUUUUAUUUUUUUUCAGGUCGCAUCUCAAUGUGUGUUUUUAGGCUGCUGUUGUCUCGUUCUUUGUCUUUUCUUUUUCUUUAUUUUCCUCCCUUUUUCAUUUUAUGUAUCAUUUGUAUGUCUUUUCUUUUUCUUUUGUUAUUAUUUUUUUAUUGUCCCAUUUUUAGUUUAUUUUUCUUUGUACUUUUUAGCUUUCAUUAUUUUAACGGAGUCUCAGUCGACGCGCCAUCCGUCGGAUCUUUGUUUACUUCAAGAUCGCGCUGAAAGUGGGUUAUCUUGUUUCAGCCUGUGUAACACGUGUGUCCAGCCUGUUUGUUUGUUUGUUUAUCGGGCUUCUUUUUGUCGGGGGACAUGGGAGGUUUUCUCGGUGGGUUGUUCGCUGGGCUGGGUAGGCGUUCCUCUGAUUUCUUUUUUUUUAGUUGUCAUUCUGUAGAUCUGAGAGUAGGUGUUCCUCCGAUUUCUUAUGUUUGUUGGUUCCAGUAGGUUGUUUUAAGUAGAGAUUAGUAUUAUCUUCAUUUUCCCAGGGGAUUUGUUUGUUCCAGUAGUUUGGACAAAGUGCAGAUUAAUAGUUUCUUUUUCACCAGUAGUCAAAAUAUAUUUUGGAUCAGCAGAGGUUAGUGAGUUUUAUUUCCAUUUCCCCAUUCUUAGCAGAGGAUCAAGAGAGGUCUAGUAUUUUCAAGCAGAGUUUGUAGUAGUUUCAAAUAGAAAUGUUUCUUUGUUUUAAAUGCAAUAGAGUUUGUUGUUAGUCAAUGCAGAGUUCUGUUAGUUUUCAAGUAGACAUUCUAGAGGUAUGCAUGUAUGUUUGUUUUUCUGUCUAGUUUUUGAAAUGUUUCUUUUUUGAUAGUAGCGGAAUUUGUUUGUUAGUCAACAUAAUAUGUUCAUUUUCAAUUUUUGUGACCACAUCAUGUUAAUAUAUCCACUUAUACGAAAAAAAAAUCCACUUAUGCAUAUUUUUGUUAGUAAUUGUUUCUUUUUUAUAUCAUCUAUGCAUAUAUGUUUGCCUUUUCAUAUCCUAGUUAAGAAACCGCUGUUUGCUUGUCUGGUCAUAAAAUAUGUCAUUUUCAUAUCCUUGUUAACAUUCUUCGUGUUGUUUGUUUUUUUAUGCGCUCUGGCAAUGGUCCGUGAAGUUUGCUUGAGUCGUUGCAAGCAUAGGAACAUGGGUAGCGGUUGGCGUCUAUUUAUGGAGGGAAUUUAAAAUCACAACGGCAACUCAAUAAUUUUCAAUGGUAACUGAAACUGACCACUGUUCUGCUAGUGGGCGGGAGAGGGGGGUAGUUGCAUGUUUGAGACUAGGCAUGCAACUGCAAGUGCGUGUCUACCCACCCGGCCGCAACUAACCUUUUUGUUAUGUCGGAGGACGACGGGAAAGGAGCGGUAGUUGCAUGUCUGAUACUAGGCACGCAACUGCAAGCAUCACCACCAACUGCAAUUGCAUGUCUACCCACCUAGCUGAAACUGACUUUUGUUUCGUCGAAGAGAGGCGGGAGAGGGGCAGUUGCAUGUCUGACACUAGGCAUGCAACUAAAGUGUCGCCCUGAAUGUAACUGCAUGUUUACCCAGACGACUGUAACUGACCUUUUGUUUUGUCGGUAGGCCGUGGGAGCGGGGGCUGUUGCAUGUCUGAUGCUACGCAUGCAACUGCAAGUGUCGCCCCCGACAACAACUGCAUGNNNNNNNNNNNNNNNNNNNNNNNNNNNNNNNNNNNNNNNNNNNNNNNNNNNNNNNNNNNNNNNNNNNNNNNNNNNNNNNNNNNNNNNNNNNNNNNNNNNNNNNNNNNNNNNNNNNNNNNNNNNNNNNNNNNNNNNNNNNNNNNNNNNNNNNNNNNNNNNNNNNNNNNNNNNNNNNNNNNNNNNNNNNNNNNNNNNNNNNNNNNNNNNNNNNNNNNNNNNNNNNNNNNNNNNNNNNNNNNNNNNNNNNNNNNNNNNNNNNNNNNNNNNNNNNNNNNNNNNNNNNNNNNNNNNNNNNNNNNNNNNNNNNNNAUCCUUUUGUUUUCUCGAUGAGUAGUCGGAGAGGGGGGGGGGUGCAUGUCUGACACUGGGCAUGCAACUGCAAGUGUCGCCCUCGACUACAACUGCAUGUCUACCCACACGACUGUAACUAUCCUUUUUGUUUUCUCGGUGAGCAGUCGGAGAGGGGAGGGGGGAGUUGCAUGUCUGAUACUAGGCAUGCAACUGCAAGAGUCUCCCUCGACUGCAACUACAUGUCUACCCACCCGACUGCAACUGACUUUUUUAUUAUGUCAGAUGAUGACGGGAGAGGGGGCAGUUGCAUGUCUAACACUACGCUCGCAACUGUAAGCGUCGUACCCGACUGCAAUUGCAUGUCUACCAAUCCAACUGCAACUGGCCUUUGUUUUGUUAGCUGGCAGUGGGAGAGGGGGCGGUUGCAUGUCGGCCACUAGGCAUGCAAUUGCAAGUGUCGCCCCCUACUGCAACUGAACUUUUGUUUUGUUGGAGGGCAUCAAGAUAGGUAGGGGAAGUUGCAUGUCUAACACUUGGCAUACAGCUGCAAGUGUCACCCUCGACUGCAAUUGCAUGCCUGACACUAGGUACGCAACUGCAAGCGUCGCCCCAAACUGCAACUUAAUGUCUAACCAUCCGGUUGCAACUUACCUUCAUUUCCCCAUAGGGCGGCAGGAGAGGGGGCACAGUUGCAUUCUUGACACUAGGCAUGCUUUUGUGGGUUGGGCGGGUGUUCAAGCACGCAUUCUUGUUUUGUUUUUUUGUUCUUUUGUCAUUGCUUUGUGUUGCAUUUGCGCUUGAUUGUUCCCCAGCUUCGCUCCCAUUUUUGUUUUUUAUUUUCCCCAUUUUUCUUUUUUUAUUAGUUUUUAUUUUUUUUCAAAAAUAUUACCACCUAUUUGCACAUACAUCGAUCACACACAAUUGCGUGUAAAUUAAAUCACGCGUAAUUACAUGUCUACUAUCGGUGUGGAACUUUUUUUCUUUUCAUCUCUGCCAUUAAACACACCACUGCAAGUGUCACUCCCCCUCAGCGCGCUCGAGUAAUAACUGGGAAAAUUAAGGCUGGACAGGUGACUGCAAUUGUGUGUCCUCAACGUGACUGCAACUCAGUGAUAUUUUUUGUCAGAAGGGGGACAGUUGCAUAUCGUCCACUAGACACAGUGUAGCCGCGACUACAACUACAUGUCUUUCAAAGUACAACUUUGUGUUAUUAUUAUUAUUAUUAUUAUCACUACUACUAUUAUUAUCAUAUUUUAUUUUUUCUGCUUAAUUUAUUUUGUUGUUGUAUUUUUAGUUAUUUUCUAUUUUUGUAAACAGACAGUAAACAUUUUUUUAAUAUACAUGAUGUUUUUUAAGAAUAUUUGUUUCAACACAUGAUGAUUUAAAAAAUAAACAAGCACUUUCUUCCAAAAUAUUACUAUAAAUGUAAACAAAGCUUUCAUUUCUUUUUUACGGUGAAGCAAUAACUGAUUUUUCAAAGGAAAUAAACAUUUAACAAACAAAAGCAAAAACAGAAAAACCAAACAAAAACAACAAAAGGCCGGAUGAUAGGAAAAUCAUGCAAACGGCUAAGGUUACUACUUGUUUUUGAGACAUCUAAGGUUACUAUUGGCCCUCACCGUAAAAAAAAGUUAACUACUGCCCCGGCCAGUGUGCCAGAACGAGCAGCAUCUACAAAAACUCUCGAUAUUCAAAAAAUCGCUGGUCCAAAAGCACACAACAACCGAAAAAAUGAAGGCAUUAGGCUGCAAUAACACGGUCGGCCCAGCAACAGUAGAAAAAGGUACCAAGACUUAAUAAGAAACUAAAAUGGGCUGGGCUACUGUUGGAUGAUGUCACCUGACUUAGACUUCGUGAAGUCUAAGUCGACUUAGACCUAGACAAACCCUACUGUAUAUUGUAUUCUUAUUUUAGUGGAAAAUCUCUGUCUCUUUUGUGUGUAUUUUAUACUCCGUCCAAUAAUGUUAGUGUCAAAAAAAAGCUUACAUUAUGAGACAAAAGAAAUAUAUUAUUACACUCUAAAAUCUCUUAUACUUAUUUGUUUACAAAGAGUACAUACAUAAAUUGUAAAAAGGUCUUAUAUUUUAGGACGAAGGUAGUAUAUACCAUCAGUUAUGUACUCCCUCCGUUUCAAAAUAGAUGACUCAACUUUGUACUAACUUUAAUACAAAGUUAGUACAAAAUUGGGUCAUCUAUUUUGGAACGAAGGAAGUAUGUGAUUUCAAAAAAGAAAAGCAGUUAUGUAUGUGCAACCACAUAAUCCAAAAUUUAAAAUCUGAUUUUUAUUUAUUUAUUUAUUUAUUUAUAUGUGUUUUGCUUCUUUGGAUUAAACCUUGUAAAUAGUGAAUAUCAAUAUCUCCGUUGAUGGCACGAUUCGCAGCUUUCGUGGUUGUGGUCUAGCGAUCGGGUCCACUGAUUUGAAUUACUAUGUUUUUUGGAUUGCUAAUUACGAUGCUUUGAUUGAUUGAGACAAUUUUUAUAUUUGGAAUCCUAAUUAUGGUGAUUUGAUAUGAUGUUUUUAAUACUAAUUAUCAUGCUUUAACUGUUACAAUAUAAUUGGAGCAAUAUUGGUCAUUAGAUCUAACAUAACAAAAGGAUGAUAUUCAAUGUUUCUAUCAUAACUCACUUUUUUAAUAAUAAAAAGAGGAUGAUGAUGUCCAUCUCUAUCUUGAUAUACUACUUAAAAAUAAGUACUCCCUCCGUCCAUGCGUAUAAGUCAAAUUACGAAAAUUAAAUAAUCUCAAAACACUUAGACACGGUGCAUUAACUCUCAUCUCAUUUCUUGUUUUUUGACAUAGAUAAAUGAACCAAUCAAUAAGAGAUGUGGGACGUGUAUAUUUUUAAUGACUUGAGACUAGCAAACACGACAUGCAAUGGUCAGUUCAUUGCAUGCGAUGAUAUUAAUUAGCAAAUAACCAUUAAGUUUUUUUUGUUUUUUGCUCCACCUUGGUCAUGGUGCACAACCUAAGAUGACUUAUAUAUUAAUUAGCAUCUCUAUUCCUACCGAACAGAAUUCUUCGUCAACUGGUUCCCACCUCUCAUCAUGUCCCUCUAUUGAUUUUUCCUUUCAUUCAGUCGAUUUUAUUUCCACCAUGCCAUAUUAACCACACCUUUCAAGUAUGCCGCUCGAUCACAUUAAUAUAACAUGUGAUUACGACGCUUAAUUUUAUGCCAUAUUUUAUCGCACCUUCACGUAUGCCGCUCAAUCACAUUAAUUUAUCAAAGUUAUGGAGAUAAAAAAAUAUUUGGCCUCUGUGACAACGCACAGGCACAUACUUAGUACUACAUGAAAAAGACAUAAGGUUUUGUCUGCAUCUUACAUCUGUCUCACUCCUAACUCGGUCCCUUCACUAUUAUUUUUUAGGUUUCCAUUCCCUUUUGACUUUCACACUAAUUUUUGGCAACCCAAUAAACCAGAUCAAUCAAUGGUACAUCCAUAAAUUCACGGCCCAUAAACUUUCUUACACUAGCCACAGUGAAGAGUAACAUACACAUAUCCUUAGACUAUGUUACUAUCUUCAUAGUGGGUAGUAACUUAAGUGUGGUAACAUGCAAAGAUUCAUUUAUUAGGUUAUAGACUCAUAUUGCAAUGGGACAUGUGAUGUUACAGUAACUAGCUAAGUUAUUACAACUAUCUCUCUCCUCAUUAACUCAUUGCCACAUAAGCAAAUUGGCUGAGUUGGACUCGAUGUUACUGUUGAAAUUACUCCCACUGUGGCUAGUGGUAAAAUCUAACACCGGCCAAGCAUCUUUUUUUCGUGGGGGGCAAACAUCUUAAUAACCCAAUAAAUAACAAUAAAUUCAUGACUGUAAGUAAAUAAAUAGCAAUCAGUCUUUUAUCUUCAAUAACCUAAUAAAAAAGAUCAGUCACGAACACAUAUAAUCAUAUUUUGCUAUUUGCUUGCAUCAAGAUUUGUCCCGUACUCUUCUCUUAUUACGUUAAAAAAAAUUACCCCAUGACAAUACACGGCACAUAUCUUUAGUAGUACAAAACAAAGGAAGCUAAGGUCAGAUACAAUUUUAGGCGCCCUGAAAUUUGUUUGCAUGGAUAUAAAACAAUUAAUUGUUUUAAUAUAUUUCUUAAUGAGUUUCCAUCUUUGUAAAUUUGUUUUGUUCAUACAUAUCUAUAGAUGGAUCACCAUGUUGCAAUAAUGGGCUCAUGUAGCAACAAUAUGCUCAUGGCGACGGGGUUAGCAUUUCUCGUCAUACAUACACAACUGCGAGAUUUGGUGGCAGGUUCUUCACACCAGCUUAAGGCUUCAACGGCGACGACUGCGGCUUCGGGAUUGGUUCUUAGAGGCACGUGCAUGAAAACUUCUCACCUGUCAUUGACAAGGCCGGACCGGCUCCGGUUCGGGAGCAUCGACAACUACGCGUCAACCGGCUCAUUCUAGUGACGGCAGUGGACGUUCAAUCGCGCAAAAAUCUCGAUGUAAUUUUGUAACACUGUUACGCCUAGCGGGAUCAAAACUGACCCCACAGACCAACAUUUGGCCUUUCUUUGCACUUUGUCCUCACUCGUGCAGCAGUUCUUUUCGCAGUUCUUUUCGAAAGGGCUCCCGGAAAAGGAGUUCCUAGUUAAUAUGAGUAGUCUAUAGUUCCUAUUAAGCCGGGCUCUCACAAGUUUUUACUAUAUUUGGGAUGUUUUGUGCUUGUGGUUAACGUUUAUAACAGAUCUGACAACAAUCCAAAAGGAGAGGUAGCACAAAAAACACAAGUAGGAAGGGAAGGAACCGGCACGGCCGCAGUGCAGGAGAGGGAGAAUGUGCUGCUGCAUGUGUUGCGUAUGUUGUGGCUGUGCUACUCCUUAGGGGAGGGGUAGUGAGCUGAGUUACAACCAGCAAGUUUGUACUGGAGCACAGCAGCUGAAAGAAACGGUUUCAGUUUAACACCAUACAAACUCAACCCACUAGGAUUGUUUCUAGUUGAGUGCCAGGUGUAACAUACAAAUACCCAUGAAAUGUAUAUACACAUCUGGACUAGUAGGUAGUGCAUCUUGUUCUACUAAUAUUAAGAGCGAGCGAGGUCACUUGAUCCAUACACAUUUUACUUCUACACAGAGGAGAGGAGAGGAGAAGAGAAGAGCCAUCGUCUCCUCCGCCUUACCCUUACCAUACCAUCCAUCACUUGUCCAAAAUGCACACGCCAAACUACCUACCACAUACAUACAUUCUUCCACCUGCAGCACCUUGCUUGUGACACUACUACUUGAUUACCCUAGCUAGUUAGUUAAUUAACCCUUCCUAAACAAGCAACCAUCGCAUCGCACCGCAUCA